UACGUAGGGUGCGAGCGUUUAAUCGGAAUUACUGGGCGUAAAGCGUGCGCAGGCGGUCUGUUAAGACCGAUGUGAAAUCCCCGGGCUUUAACCUGGGAACUGCAUUGGUGACUGGCAGGCUUUGAGUGUGGCAGAGGGAGGUAGAAUUCCACGUGUAGCAGUGAAAUGCGUAGAGAUGUGGAGGAAUACCGAUGGCGAAGGCAGCCUCCUGGGCCAACACUGACGCUCAUGCACGAAAGCGUGGGGAGCAAACAGGA
rnacentral:rRNA from 1 species